GCCGACGUAGUCCAGCGGACACGACACCGCCUUGCCAUGGCGGAGACGCGGGUUCAACUCCCGCCGUCGGCUCCA
rnacentral:tRNA from 1 species